UACGUAGGGGCUAGCGUUGUCCGGAUUUAUUGGGCGUAAAGAGCGUGUAGGCGGCCAGGUAGGUCUGCUGUGAAAACUCGAGGCUCAACCUCGAGACGUCGGCGGAAACCAUCUGGCUAGAGUCCGGAAGAGGAGAGUGGAAUUCCUGGUGUAGCGGUGAAUGCGCAGAUAUCAGGAAGAACACCCGUGGCGAAGGCGGCUCUCUGGGACGGUACUGACGCUGAGACGCGAAAGCCGUGGGGAGCAACAGG
rnacentral:rRNA from 1 species